rnacentral:rRNA from 1 species
GCAGGUACAGCGGGAUGCCAUGGGGCGACCCAGAGCGGAACCCGAAAACCUGUCUCAGUUCGGAUCGGAGUCUGCAACCCGACUCCGUGAAGCUGGAUUCGCUAGUAAUCGCGCAUCAGCCAUGGCGCGGUGAAUACGUUCCCGGGCCUUGUACACACCGCCCGUCAAGCCAUGGAAGCCGGGGGUGCCUGAAGUGUGCAACCGCAAGGAGCGCCCUAAGGUAAAACCGGUGACUGGGGCUAAGUCGUAACAAGGUAAC